UGAUGAGCACUCUUAGUCAUGAUCCUAUCCUCUCUCCGUAGUCAUUGCACCUGUACAGUAGAACAUCAUUACGGAUAUCAACGAGGCACUCAACCAUGAACCACCACCACCUGACUGUCCACCCAUGCUCACCUAUGUGAACACUGGGGUCACUACAUUCACAGCGCAGGACAUCCAGGCAUCACGACCCUGCAACUUACCACAAAAUAAAUUCUGGUGGCCUGAUUUACAGUUAGAUUCGUACAACAAUGCUCCUCUUUUAACGUCACCAAAUCAUCACAUCAACAGCCAGCAGGCCUGCUACAGCACUACUCAUUCCCCAGAGACCCUGGUCCCAUAUCGCCAUGGAUUUUGUUAUGGAUCUCCCUCCUUGGAAUAACUUCACAACCAUCCUCACAAUCAUGGACAGAUUUUCCAAAACCUGCAGAUUACACAAGCCAACCACCAUCGCAGAGAGUCUCCGGCCUAUACACCUAGGCAGUGGGUCUGGCCUAUCCACCAGGGAUGUGCACCUCCACCGUCCAUGCAAGAAACUAAACCCUAGGUAUGUGGGUCCAUUUAAAGUCAUCAGACAAAUCACCCCAGUUUCAUACCAUCUAGCCUUGCCUUCUAAUUAUCGUAUUUCUCCCACUUUCCAUGUAUCAUUGCCGAAACCUACGAGUGGCCCGAGAGGAGAGAGGGACCAGGACUAGGCGGCGGAGACCGAAAACCCUCCCUUGAGUAAGCCUACCGAGUAAACAAAAUACUUGAUUCACAAUGCCGAGGGCGGGUCCUACAGUACCUCAUAGAUUGGGAGGGAUACAGGCCAGAAGAACGAUCGUGGGUCAAUGACUCUUUCCGAUGGCCACUGAAGGGAACCCUCUCCAGAGUACUAGCUU